GGCCAGACUCCUACGGGAGGCAGCAGUGGGGAAUAUUGGGCAAUGGGCGCAAGCCUGACCCAGCAACGCCGCGUGAAGGAAGAAGGCCCUCGGGUUGUAAACUUCUUUUAACAGGGACGAAGAAAGUGACGGUACCUGUUGAAUAAGCCACGGCUAACUACGUGCCAGCAGCCGCGGUAAUACGUAGGUGGCAAGCGUUAUCCGGAUUUACUGGGUGUAAAGGGCGUGUAGGCGGGAGAGCAAGUCAGACGUGAAAUUCCAGGGCUCAACCCUGGAACUGCGUUUGAAACUGUUCUUCUUGAGUGAUGGAGAGGCAGGCGGAAUUCCGUGUGUAGCGGUGAAAUGCGUAGAGAUCUGGAGGAAUACCGGUGGCGAAGGCGGCCCCCUGGACGAAGACUGACGCUCAGGUGCGAAAGCGUGGGGAGCAAACAGGAUUAGAUACCCGAGUAU
rnacentral:rRNA from 1 species